AUAAAUACUGCAUAACACAUCCAUAACUUUAUUUAUUCAAAAUCUUCUUUCUGUAACCAAAAUUGUUAAACAUAAAUAAGCAUAAAUUAAUAUAAAUAUAUAACAACACACAGUGUUAUACAGUAACCCAACCGUCCUUGCCAAUAAACAUACCGUGGUUCCUAAUCACCACUUCCUCUCACCUCCCCCCUCGUCAUAAAUCAUACCAUUCCAAUGCCCGCCAUCAGCCGACCUUAUCC